rnacentral:misc_RNA from 1 species
AAAUUUCAAAGUUCAAGAAGUUUUUUGUUUUAUUUUUAAGUUCAGGGACACCUCUAUUACAACGUCUAAAGUUCAAGAAUAGCUAUUGAAAUUUAUUCCUGAAAGUUUAGUGUAUUUUCAAGGAACUACCUACUCUAAGAUUUUCUCAACUAGAAAUGUACAAUCCAUCUUCAAUUAAAAGAAAAAAAAAAGGUAGUUCCAUAUAACAGCUACAAUUACAAACAUGGCAAAAUGAGCAGCAAGUAGAAGAAUGAUUAUGCUGCAAAGUAAGCACAUUACUUCGCAUUGCACUAUAUUAUCCCUAGUCCAUCUUGUGAAGAUAUAAUGCUAUCUUAAUUUGAUUACAGCAAUCUAUUUCAUUCCCUAGAAUGUUCCAGAAAAACUUACAGACAUGGUAGAUGUUCACUAGAAAUCAAUGAAUAUGGGUAAUGUUUAACAGGUUGGAAUUUUAAUAAAGCUAUGAUUUAUUGCAUGCAUUUUAGACCUCCAUUUCACAUGUUUGCUUUUGUUUCUAAUGAGUGAAAUCAAUAAAAAGGUAUAAAAUGGUAAUUUAAAACUAUAUAACAGCAGCUAACACUGACGCUUCUGUUCAGAGUGUGCAUGGCAAAGGUUGUUUUUAACUUGCAAAAGUAAAGGAGUUAAAGAAUACCAAUG